GACGAACGCUGGCGGCGUGCCUAACACAUGCAAGUCGAACGGAGUUGAAAGGAGCUUGCUUUUUUCAACUCAGUGGCGGACGGGUGAGUAACGCGUGAGUAACCUGCCUUUCAGAGGGGGAUAACGUUCUGAAAAGAACGCUAAUACCGCAUAAGAUUGUAGCUUCGCAUGGAGUAGCAAUCAAAGGAGCAAUCCGCUGAAAGAUGGACUCGCGUCCGAUUAGAUAGUUGGCGGGGUAACGGCCCACCAAGUCGACGAUCGGUAGCCGGACUGAGAGGUUGAUCGGCCACAUUGGGACUGAGACACGGCCCAGACUCCUACGGGAGGCAGCAGUGAGGGAUAUUGGGCAAUGGGGGAAACCCUGACCCAGCAACGCCGCGUGAGGGAUGACGGUUUUCGGAUUGUAAACCUCUGUCCUCUGUGAAGAUAGUGUCGGUAGCAGAGGAGGAAGCUCCGGCUAACUACGUGCCAGCAGCCGCGGUAAUACGUAGGGAGCAAGCGUUGUCCGGAUUUACUGGGUGUAAAGGGUGCGUAGGCGGAUUGGCAAGUCAGAAGUGAAAUCCAUGGGCUUAACCCAUGAACUGCUUUUGAAACUGUUAGUCUUGAGUGAAGUAGAGGUAGGCGGAAUUCCCGGUGUAGCGGUGAAAUGCGUAGAGAUCGGGAGGAACACCAGUGGCGAAGGCGGCCUACUGGGCUUUAACUGACGCUGAGGCACGAAAGUGUGGGUAGCAAACAGGAUUAGAUACCCUGGUAGUCCACACUGUAAACGAUGAUUACUAGGUGUGGGGGGUCUAACCCCCUCCGUGCCGGAGUUAACACAAUAAGU
rnacentral:rRNA from 1 species